rnacentral:rRNA from 1 species
ACGCUCGACACCUACUGGAGGCAGCAGUGGGGAAUAUUGGGCAAUGGGCGCAAGCCUGACCCAGCAACGCCGCGUGAAGGAAGAAGGCUUUCGGGUUGUAAACUUCUUUUGUCAGGGAACAGUAGAAGAGGGUACCUGACGAAUAAGCUCCGGCUAACUACGUGCCAGCAGCCGUGGUAAUCUGAGCGGGCGUGGCAAGGCG